rnacentral:rRNA from 1 species
UUUAACGGCCGCGGUACCCUAACCGUGCGAAGGUAGCAUAAUCACUUGUUUCUUAAAUGGGGACUAGUAUCAACGGCACCACGAAGACUACACUGUCUCCCCCCUAAAAUCAAUGAAACUGAUCCCCUCGUGAAGAAGCGAGAAUACAAAUAUAAGACGAGAAGACCCCAUGGAGCUUUAAACGAACUUCAAUUGCUCCCUUCCACACCAUAGAAAUUGAGCACUAAUGAUGAUAUGUUUUCGGUUGGGGUGACCGCGGAGUAAAACAAAACCUCCACAAUGAAUGCAAUAAGCUAACAAAAGAACUACAAUUCUAAUAAUCAAAAAAUUGACAUUAUUGACCCAAACACUUGAUCAAUGAACCAAGUUACCCUGGGGAUAACAGCGCAAUCCAUUUUAAGAGCCCAUAUCGACAAAUGGGUUUACGACCUCGAUG